rnacentral:lncRNA from 1 species
UAAUGUGGGAUAAAUACCACACAAGUUCCAAUAUUGACCAAGUCCCUCGCUGAUUAGUUGCUUACUAGGUGAACGAGACUCUUUAGAUAAUAUCUAAACCGAUCCCACUCAUAGUGGCACAGGAUCAAUAAAAUGUGUAGCAACACAUUCUUUCAUAACUUUUCCAACACGAGUGUAGCCAUCUUCUCCUUUGUAAAGCAGAUCAACUACUUUUGUCAAGUUAAGAACACGCAGAAGCACAGGCAUUGGAACAGCAGUUGGCCUUAGAAACUCUUCGUUUAUAUCCUUCCAGUAAUCCACAACCUGCUUGUUAAACACCUCGAUCACCUCUUCCUCUGAGACCCCAUGUUGUUUCAUGUAGCAAUCGAUACUCGAAGCAACAUGACCUCGCUCUUUCUCAAACUGUGAUUACAGAGCUUCAAAUUAGUAUAACAUUCAACUUUUACCAGUUAAAGGGCCAGUUUUGGUACCUUGGUGGUGACAAUGUCGUCCAUGAGUCGAAAAAGUGUUGUGGAAGCUAUGACGAUUUUAGGAUCAUUGAACAGCCAUUGAAAUGUCUCCUCUGUUACAAUAUCCCCCAUGCCAACCAAGGAUACAGUUGCAAGCAUAGGAUAACCAGUUGAAAAUAUUGCAGAACGUAAAUACUCCUCCACGGUUGGGAUUCGCUCGUCUUUGAACCAUUUGGCCUCUUCAAAGUAUGCUCGAGCCACACCUUUCAACUAGAAAGAUAAUAUGUUACAUAAUAAUGUUUCCAAUAUAUACGGUAAAUGAUCAUGCGCUGCAAAAUCAAAUUAUUUGAAUAAUUUUGGAUCUGUGUAAUACAUACUGAUUCCUUAACAUAAUAAACUCGGUAUGAUUUUCCUUCCUUUGCCAAUUCUUCCUCAAUUUCACUGACCACAUUCAAAAGUGCACUAUAAAAUAUUUGCAUAUAGUCUGGGAGGUCAUCCAUGCAUUUGAUAUCCCACCUGAGAUUUGCAUAUAUAACAAACCGGUUAUAAUCAAUUGAAGGGCAUAUCAAAGAGGUUUGGAUUGUAACAAAUUUAACCUCUCCAUAGCUGCAGUAAAGAUAUCCAAUUCUUCAAAGGUAGCAAAUGCAUCGUAGAUAUCAUCCAUUACUGAUACCAGCGCAAUCACUUUUGUAAGAAUUUUUCGAGCAGAAGAGUAGUGGGGUUCAAAGUAAACUCCCACUAUCCAGAAGUACAACUCCACCAUCCUAUCUCUUGCAAAUGACAGCUUCCUUGCAAAGUCUAGCUCCUUCCACCACCUAUGCAAGCAAUAUUGUGUUAAUAAUCAGCUCAUACAUAACUCCACUCGUUGCUACUUACGUAGUUCUUCACUUACAAAUUAACUUACUUGGUGAUCUCACUGAGCUCCUCUUUGUGCAAAGACUGAACAAGAUUGAAAUCCAACUUAGCAAGUUUCAGCAAAGCUUCAUUGUGUGAAGCUUCGUUUUGGUAUAUUGACAUGUAACGCCUAGCACAAACCCUCUCGAGAUCUUUCCGGAGAGGUCUAUGUAAGGCCUGAGUUACUUGCGCUGCCAGUGGGUAGCUUACACCAGUUGUUACUUUCUCAAGGUUAGUGGUGGUGAAAACAACAGCCUCAUCUAGUAUCUCUUCUCCCCGCACCCUAAGAUGUGCUGCUUCAUACAAGCUUAGCAUACCCGGCACAUCAUCGAUUAAGCAUUCGUUGAAGCUACCAUUUGCAUCCUUGAACUUGUUGAAUAUAUCUGCUCAAAUAUGUCAAGGAGGCGAGCAUAAAAAUGAAUUUAUGGUUGGCGAAAAAAAAAACAUACAUUUCUUUACAUACAAAAUUACAUACCACAUGAAACAUUGUAUCCAUGCUGCCUGAGUAGCCGAAAACCAAGAGAAACAUUGUAUAGGUCACCAUCAUAGUCAUGAUAUUUAGCAUGCGUAUUGUCACGAGCUUCCUUUUUUCCUAAGUUACUCGUGCGGCUUUAGCACUUCCCUUAUGCUAAGUCAGCCUUACUCACGCAAACACUUUGGCUAGAACACUCGAACGAAGGGAGAAGAUCUUUGAAAGAGAGAACUUGUAUUAAGCUUUAAGAGAACUUUACAAAACUUUACAAGUGAGCUUGACUGUUAUCCAACUCUCUAUGCCUCAAAUGGGAGGGGUGCCUUCCUAUUUAUAGGCAUCAUCCCCCCUUGCCUAAGGUUCUAGAUAAUUCUAGGACAUUUACAAAUAUAGAGGUUUCUAGAGUUUUCUAUACAACUCUAAGUGUUGCCUUGAGUAUUCUAGAGACUUCCGGAGUAGCCUUGAGCCUUUAGCCUCUCUAGGGUUCUAGAGAGUUCCGGAGUGUCCUAGAGACUCUCUAAGGUUCUAGAGAGUUCUAGAGUUGUCUGCAUGCUUCCCGAUCCUUCCGGAAGCUUCUAAGACCUUCCAUAAUAUUCUAGAUGCUUCCAGGACCUUCCAUAAUGUUCCGGAUGCUUCUAGAAUGCUCAUGUGCUCUCCAAAACCUUCCUUGAGCCAUGCUUGCAUCAAAACGCUCAAGAAAGCUCCUUGUUAAUAGGCAGGGCGUGACAGUAUGCUCUAGGGUUUCUUCUAUUUCAGUUUCGAAAUGGUAAGCCACACCAAGGCACUGGAUCGCAUCGAUUAACUUCAGUUGAUGUGAAAAAUCAGUUGCCUGAUUUUUGAAUACUUCUCUCUUUACUACUGCUUUCAGCUCCUCAACUUGUUGUUGCCUAAGGACACGAGUUAUCUGCAGCAAAAACAACACAUGCAAUUUAGCACCAUCAAAGAUUCAAAAUAUAGAUAUAUGUGUGUAUAUAUAUAUAUAUAAAUAUUUAUAUAUAUAUAUAAUAUGCUAUAUCAUUACGUACGUUGUCUUCGGAAUCGCAUUUGAUGAAACGAUCUCCCCAAAUACUAGGGUGAUAAUUUGCCGUCCUGUGAACAAUUUCAGGCUUAGCAUUUGGUGUCACAAUAGCUGCUUGGAAAGACAUGAUGAUUUAGUUUCUGUAUAUAUGCUUUGAGCUUUGCUCUGCUAAGCUUUUGUAUAUAUAGCCAUGGAUCGAUAUUGGCAAGGGGAGAUGAUUAAAGUUGGAAAUAGUUCUACUGUAUAUCUUGGAUGACAAAUCUGACAUAAAUAGGAUAGAUUCAUCCAAGGAGUAAAAUAUCGAUGAUCAUAAAAAUUUCGAUGGUUUGAAAAAAUGAAAUCUCGAUGGAUAUAUCGAGAUAAUAUCGAAUAUCGACGGAAAUUUUACUAAAUUUUAUCUAAAAGUUGUAUAUUUGACUAAAAAUAAACUAAAUGUAAAAUAUCAAAAAGAUAUGAAAAUCAAUAUCGAUUAUUAUAAAAACGAAAAUUUAAAAAAAUAAAGGAUAUUUUAAAUAUUUUACUCCGUGGAUUCAUCUGGAAAGAGGCAGACCAACUAACUGGGGCCAUUCCUGAUUUGGGAUUCAGCACAAACGUGUUCUCGUCAUUUUUCUUUCCAGAGUAGUAGUUGAAAAUCAAUCAAAUAUAAUUAACUAAUACUUUCCCAAUCGGUACAACAAGUCUGACUAGGGUAGACCAAUCAUGGAAAUAAAAGACAAAAAUUUAAGCGAUUUGCGCUUUCGCAUUGAUUUGGAUCUAACAGUAAACAUAGUAUUGAACUAAUAACGUGUACCAUGUGUUUCUCGUUAAUUCUCCUCUUCAACUUUCCGCUUACAGUUUACCUACUGGAAUGAAACGAGAGAUAUUGAUUACGAGGUAGUAAAAAUGUUCUGCAUUUACUAACACAUAAUAAAAGAAUGGAAAUGAUUUAGAAGGCACAUUAUCUUGGUUCCCGGGCUGGGUUCGCGAUCUAGGUUGUUUCUCUUUGUCAUGUCUGAGAACAGAUGGUGGAAGGAGGGGGGUUGGUUUCAACGCGGCAUGUUUCUCUCCUUGUGGUCGUGGACAUUGGUGGUGGCACGACGUUCUCAACGUUCAGAGGGGGUGGAGGUUGUCGAGUUGUGCUACCCGGGCUGCAUGAUCCUUGAGUUCCAAUCGGCUGGUGGUUGGGCCUAGUCCUAUUUAGGCCCAGGUUCGAUGGGUAUUUUAUAGGUUUUUUUUUUCUUUUUGUUUUUGGUUGUUUAGGUUUUUGGUGGUUGUUUUGGUUGGUUAGGUGUCCCUCUUUUAGCGAGGAUUUAGGGUUUUGGUAUGUUGGUAUCGGGUUGUGGGGUGUGUCAUGGUUAUGUUGUUGUUUUCAACGAUUAUUUUAACUUCAAUUAGUUCUUAUUGUCAAUGUAACGGGAAAGUUACCUGUUUUAGCCACAUCAGUAAAUCUGAGUAUGCAAAGUCUCUUUCAGUAGUUGUGGGCGUGCCACCGUGCGGACACGGAAAGUAGAGGUUGUAGUAGCGGGGUGCGCUUAGCCUUCUGCUUUUAAUCAAGUGACUGAGGAUGGAGAGAGCACCAACUCCACCGCAAGGUUCUUCAGAUUCGUCUUGCGUAUUGGGCAAGGACUUACAGUAGUCCGCCUGAGCGUCACAAUAUCGAUACUUGACGUAGGAUCGAGCAGAGCGUCAACUGGGAAGGAAGAAAAAAAAGACAAUGCUCCGGGGAGCGUACAGAGAAACGAAAGCAAAGCUCCGGGGAGCGUCUGGAAGUUCAAUUGUGUUGAGAGUUGUAUUGUAUUCACUACGUCUUUUUUGGCUUCAGACGACUUGGAUCAGACGACAGAAGACGUAUUUGCUGUCGUCUGAUACAUUUAGACGACACACAUUUAAAUAUAUGUCGUCUGAAUGUAGCAACUCACAGACAGCUUAAAUUAGCGUGUUCAUGAGAUGACAGACGUCUGUCGUCUUAAAACAACCCAAAAUUUGCAAUAUAAUGGUUUGAUCUAAGACGACACUCUUUUGUCGUCUUUAUAUUGACGUAAAUAUCUAAUAUUUUUUUGGUACAACGAAUGUCUUUUUUUGGACACUUUAUAGACCUAUCUUCCCGAUAAUUUGUUUGAAGUUCUCAAUUGAGUGAUUUUUCUCACAACUGAAACCUCUCUUCCUCUCUUCCUCACAAACCAAAUUCUCUCAUAUAUCUCAUUCUCAAACUGAUCGAAUCCUCUCUUCUAUAUCUAACCCUCAAACCAAUUCCUCUUAUCUUCGGAGACCCAUAUCUGAAAACCCCCAAUUUCAACCUCCCAAACCCUAAAAGCUCCAAACCCUCGCAAACCAUGUCCGCCGCCUAAACCACCACCCAGAAGAAGCGCGCAGCCGAGCCCGAGCUCAUCAAGUCGGCCAACCUCGAUCUCAACCUCUCCAUGUUCUUUUCCUCUAAUUCCUUCAUAUCUCUUGCUUUCGCUUACGGAAUCGGCUUUUGAUGUGUUCGAUUUGAAUUUUUUUGCAGUGAUAUCAAAGGAAUCAUGUCAGCGCUGCAACAGAUCCGAUAUAAGGCGCACAUGGACGACUUGAAGAUGAACGAAGAGGCCAUUUCCAAGUGAAAAUUCAAAACGUUUAGCUCUUGAUUUCACUAAAUCAGCUCAGAAAUUCAAAACUCUAUCUAUUUUUUGGAUUAUUUUUUGCUAAUAUAGUAUCAAAUUAGAAUUUGUGUUCACUUUUUCCCCUAGUUUUGAAGUUUCGUACUCAAAUUACAGAUUUCUUGUUUUUGUUUUUUUCCUUUCCCUGUGUUUAGAUUUUGAUUGAGUUGAUGAUGUUGAGUAACAUGAGUUCGUAAUUAUAGCUAGACAAUGAUCAUAUAAUGGGAUUGUUCAAUCUGAUAAAAAUAAUUUCAAAAGGCAUAAGUGCAUAACCUUCACCAUGAAAAUUUGAUGAUGUAGUUUCUAUUGUGGUCAAAUAACAUGUGUUUGGAGACCAUCCAACUCUAACAUACUAUAUCUCUCUAUCUAUCUCUCUAAAAUAUCUCUCUCUGGCUUCUAUAUAUAAAUGUUGGAGGAACAGCAAAUGAAGCUCUGAGGCAAAGGAAGAGAAUUGCUUGGCGUCUGUAACCAAUGAAUGUCAACAAAAAUUAUGUCUCUCUUCCAUCACUUUCUGCCAAUCCCCCUUUAGCCAUUUCAUUUUCUUUGUUUCUCUACCUUUAUUUAGCAGUCUCUUAGUUUCUUGUCUUAAUGCAGAUUCCAUCUCUGGUUUCAUGGUUGUCUCCAAUCAAGGUAAAAUCUAACACAGUCACUUUUCAAUUUUUUCUCUCUAUUUUCGCCUGUGGAUAUAAAAAACUCUUUCUUGCUUUCUCAGUUUGUUGUUUGAAUAUUAAAAUGAGAGUACUGUAAUGUAAUACAAAAUUGCAAAUUGAUUUGUUUAUUGAAGAAUUUUUGCUUUGUAUGUUUUCUUGUACUCUCUGUUAUUAGUUUCUACAUAUAUAUAUAUAUAUAUAUACACACACAUAUUGAGGUAUAUAUAAUGACUUGUAGUGAGGAACCAUGUUAAGAUUCUUGUAGAAAAAAUAGGAGAUAAUGUGUCCCUCUUUUAAUUGUAUAUAGGAUCUCAUUUCGUGCUUAUAAUGUGUGUGCAUGCUGGUGCCUUUUUGCUCAGCUGCAUUUUUAUGUGCAUUGUUAGUGUACUCGUAUAUCUUUACUUACUAUGUUAUUAAUAUGUUAUUAAUAGACUUGAGAAACUCCCCUAAAUUUCUGGAGAUGAUGAUAGUUUAUUUUAUUUUUGGUUUACAGGGUGCUGGUAAAUCAGCUGUUUUGAAAGCUUAAUCAGACUCCUUUUUAGGUAAGUACAAUUUACCAAUGUAUUUCAAUAUCCAAAUUAUAGCGGUUUUUAAUUUUAUUUUAUGGUUUCUUCCUCCAGCCAACUAGUGAGAAUGAUGCUACUCGAGCUCCAAUCAGCAUUGAUUUACAUAGGGGCAGCUCAUUGAGCAGCAAAUCAAUGAUAUUGCAGAUUGACAAUUAAUCCCAUCAAGUUUCUGCAAGUAAGUCACUUAAUGUAUGUUCUCAAUUUAAUUUAAUCAUGUUAUAGUGCUGUUUUUGUUUAGAAUCUUCUUAGAAUUUCAAGUCAAUACUACUGUGUUUUCACAUAUAGGGUUGUUUUGAUUUAGCUAUCAUUUAAACUCACUUCACAUCGUUCUUAAUGGAGUUUGUUUAUAGAUUAUUUCCAUGUCGAGCUGAAUCUUAAUUUAUUGUUUUGUAAAUACCAUCUUACAUUGCAAGUAUGUAAGAAUUAUAGCUGAAUUCCACUUUUCAUGAUUUAUAGUUUAUAUAAGGAUUUCAGGUGGUCCUAGUGAUAAGACUUGCAAUGCUUGAGAGGAGAACGCAGAUACUUUACAGAUACGUUGCAGGUGAUUACUUAGUAUUUUUUUAAAAGUAAACUAUUAAGCAUGAUUCUACCAUGCAGGUAAUGGACUCCAUGUACAUAUAUUGCACAUAUACCCAAAGGAUAAUGAUCAAACCCAAACCAAGGAUAAUGACCUCCUUUUUUGCAAGCAACCAAGGAAAAAAAAUCGAUAUUUUUGGCGAAAUAUCGCAGAAAAUUUCGUUUUUUCACACAGCGAAAUAUAUUUCUCACCCCAAAAUUUUUGGUCCGAAACUAUUGAUAUUUCGCGAUAUAUCGCUAUAUUUUCGAUAUCUGGCUGAAACUGUUGAAAUCACCCAAAAAAAUUUCCCAAAAGAGGCGACACCGCCGUCUGCUCCGCCGGCAGCCCAACUCCGGCCACCUCCAAUGCUCACUAAAAUUUGACACAAUCUUCCUCUCAACACGCACAACAACUUCCCUAACUAACACAAACACCAAUUCCAAGCCUAGAUAGGGUAAUCGAAUCAAAACAUUGAGCCCUAAAACUUCAACUCACCGAUUCUCCCUACUUAGAUCAAGAGGGAAUGAAACCUUUUAAGGUUUUGUUGUACUGGAGGAGAGCUUCCACACGAGACCAGCCGCGCCGUUUAUGGUGGCCGGAAAAGGCAGUUCCGACGACGACUCGGCCACUGUGCAGCCGCACCUUCUCGGUGCGAUUCAUCCCUCACGGCGACGCAACCCAACCAAUCACCUACCUAGACGUGAAGAGGAUGCUCCAAGCUUCAUUUCGACACCUAGCUCGCCCCCUAUCUCGGCCGGACGGAAGCGGACGGCGGUGAAGAAAAUCCGGCAGGGAGAGAGAGAGACUCGGGGAAGGAAGAAGAAGAGAGAGAGAGAAAAGAGAGUUUGGGCCUUCUCUCUCAAUUUUCCCAACCCAACUCCAAAAAUACCCAACACCAACAACAAUUCACCUUUUCACUAUCCAAAAAUACCCAACACCAACAGCACUAACCUUUUCACCUUUACUUACUACAACUCCCUAUAGAUCAAUGUUUAUUCAAGGUUUUCAUUUCAAAUAUAGUACAUAAUAUAGAAAACAAACAUCUCUUAAAGUUUGGUUUAAAAUUUCCUUGUUUUUCUUCAAAUUUCCGUCAAUUUUCUCAUUUUUUUACUGCAAUCGAUAUUUCCCCGAAAUUUUCAUAUUUUGGAGGGUCGAAAUUUCCGUAAUCACUGAAAUUUUCUUCCUUGCAUGCAACCAUAGUAAGCUCUUUGCACGCAAGUACUGCUAGCUUUUCGCAUGCAUACCUACUACGCAAGUCCUCCACCAAGCAAUUAAACACAGUUGACCAGUCAAUUUGGAUAACUUACGUUUCUUAUCCUUACGCGCGAAGUCCUUCUGUGCGAACUCAUACGCGAGCUCACCUCUUCGCAUGCAUCCAGUUCGCCAACAAUCCAUGUCUCAAUCUCCCACUCAUGCGAAGUCUCAUUGCAUGCGAACUUUGUCCAGCUCGCCCGCUAACUUCUGUCCAUAUAUGAGAAGGCCUGCAUGCGAACCACAUAUCUAGCUUGCAUGAAAUCAUAAGCGAGGUAACCCGCCUCUAAUCCCAACAUUAUUCGGGCUCGCCGAUGUGACAUGGACCAUGAAUUUAACCAAUAUUCACAUAGACAAUUACUGCCCAGUAAUAUUAAUUCUAGGUGUAAACAUUGCCCCCCAGCCUCGAAGUCAUGCUGCUCCAAAGCCACUGGUAUUGGCUCAGGUCAUACACAAAAAUGAGUGUGAGUAAACAAGCCACAGAAUAGGCCUUGAAACUCAAGUACCCAGCAACAAAGCACUGUAGCGAAGCUGCUGAAAUGAUUCAACUAAUACCAUAUUAAGCUGAUAAUCAUGAACUUAACAUAGCUAGGUACCUUGGACUUGAACUCAACAUGCGUUUCGCUUGCACUUCGCUUUCUCUACUCAGAAUACAUGGUACAUUGCACAUACCUCGAGUAGAUGUAUCUCUAAUGAAUGUAUCUUUAACUGAUGUACCUCGAGUGGAUAUAUUCGAAAAGGAAUCAUCUGACCUCGAAGGGAUGUAUCUCGCGAAGGGAUGUACCUUGAGUAGACGUUUGCUUUAACUGGAUUCAAAAUUGCCCUUCGCCUGAGCGCUUGACGAUGGCGAACCAUCUUUUUGACAUUGGCCAUGUACUUCGCUGCCCCCCAGUGCGAACCAAUAAGAGUCAAACAAAAAGACCAUGUCGGCGAACGGCCGCAUAAUCUUGAUUUUUUUUUUUGUAGAGGCCAUAGGCGUUGGCCUAAAUAAUGACCAAGACAUCUCAAGAAGGGUCUAAAGCCAGAAAUUUUUGACAUUGGCAUGUACUUCGCUGCCCCCCAAUGCGAACCAAUGAGAGUUAAACAAAAGGAUCAUGUCGGCGAACGGCCGCAUAAUCUUGAAAUUUUUUUUUGUUAGAGGCCACAUGUGUUGGCCUAAAUAAUGACCAAGCCAUCUCAAGAAUGGUCUAAAGUCUAAAAUAUUUGGAACACAUCUCUAUCCCAUAUGUGCCCCCUAGUUUUGAUGUCUGUUCGGUGAUACUUGAGAAUAAUGAAGGACAUCAAAACUUUAGUAUGUCCCCUAGUGAAGGAGUUGUAGUACCGUACAUCAUCAAAGUUAGCAAACAUUGAAAAAAUUUGUGGAUCGACCUUGAGUAGAUCCCGGUGUAUGAAUAAAGGUAUACAAAACUUAUAUGCCCCCAAUAAAGGAAAGCAUGCUGCAAGGUCAUGAAAACACAUUGCAAAUUCGCGCAUAUCCUGACCUGUCUGCAUUCAAACUGCCAUAACUCUCUCCAGGAAUGUCGGAAUGACGAACCGUAAAAUCCUAUAGAAACUAGACAUCCAGGGCUUUCUGUUGAUAUAAGGCUCGCCUGCUAGUUCUUCCUGGAUCAUUCCAGUUUAAUCUGCGAAGUUGACUGUCCAGUAGUGGCUGCUGCAACUUUCAGCAUUGCAAACAUUUCUUCAAUUCUCCUCUGACAUUGACUUCGCUGGCAGUAACUCCAAGGCAUGUGGAAUGCCUGUUGGCUUUAAGCCUUUGGGAUAGGCCCCUAAGUAAAGUUUAAGCCUUUUGUAGGCAAAAACGUUGUCUUGCAUUUCAGCAAAACUAAGGAUCUCUUUUUGUAUUUUCUGCUAUUUGAUUUUUUUUGUAUUUUCUUUUUUCAAUGCAAGAAAGAAAGAAAAAUGAAAGCAAACUGAAGUAAAGCUAAGAGUAAAGGAAAGAAGAGAGUACAACAUGGUUAGUUACCCUUCGUAAGGCUACGGGGGAGGCCACCAAUGCUUCACUCCAAGUCUCGACGAUGUUAUGUUUCUGGCAUGAGACUCUUGUUGUUGAGAAUUUCUAAAUGUUGAGCAGAGCUGUUUCGCGUCAAGAACUUGAAAAUUUGGGCAAGGUAGUUCGUAAAGUACAUCUCGUUGCCCCCCACAUAUCCUUGUCUUUUGACCAAACAGGAUCUUCGAUUGCAUUCUCGCGUACCAUAUGCUGUCGAGAUCAGCCUUGUUGCCAACUAUCAUGUCAUAAUACAUGGUCUUAUCAGGUAUAGCCACGCAUUGGUUAUGGAAGAGGACCAUAUUAGGAGCUUCACUGGUCCUAAACUCUUGCGGAGUAUGAUUAUCUGACAGACGGACCAACAUAUAGUCUACAUCAUAUUCAUCAUAAAUUGGCUCUGUGUCAAAAUCAAAUUCGGAGUCAUCACAACCCAACAAAUCCACCUUUGCCUCUGAUGCAGUCAUAUGAAAUCCAUGAGCAUCAUGUGUAGAUGCCGCCAAGUCCCUACUGCAGACUAGAGUGAGAUAGCACUGAGAAUACUCGACUUUACACCCAUGUAUAAUAAACUUGCAAUUCUAGGUGUAAAAACGUUUCCCACAUACAAUACUAAAGCCAUAAUUUGGCCUUUGAACUUGCAUGCAAAGACUCCAAAUAUAUUGGAAUGUGAAGCCACAGAUUGGCCUAGGUAUACCACCAUACCAUAUAUAAUUAAGCUUGUCAUGACUUGGGGCAGCUUCCUGAUAACGUCCAGUAAUUGGACAAAACUUGAGUUGAUCAUGCCCCUGAUCAUGGUGGUUAAUUAAAGAAUGAAGGCGAGCUACGCUUUGCCCCCCAUGCAUCUGACCUGUGUCCACAUAUACAUCUCGCAUAGGAAAGUUGGCUCCUUGGUCACCUUUCAUGUGAAAUUGUGGUUCGCCAUCAUCAGUGUUCGAACUAAUUUCUUCUUCUAAGAUGGAUUGUUCUGUCCUAUCUUCAAGCUCCUUUGUUUGAGGAACACCGUCAGUUUUUGAGAUAGGACUAUCAUCCAAAAUCUCGCCAGCCUCGACCUCAGGUUCUUCAUCAUUGAUUGACAAAAUAAUUUCUUCUUUGGACGUAGGUUCGUCCAAAGGAAAACCUUUGCCAUUAGAAUAGCUGCUAGGCAGUUCAAUCUUUUUGGCAAGGACAUGCUCGUCAACUGUAGGCCUUACAUUUUGGCAUUGUAAAGUCUUUUCGUUUUUUUCAGCAGCCUCAAGCUCACAAUGUCGCUUGAGGAUGGCAUCCCAUUUCUCUUUAUAAGCAACCCAUUCCUCUUUUUAACCGUGCCAAUCCAUUAUCGCCUCUUUGUUUCCGAUCUCCGAUCCCAAUGAAGGUAACGUCAGAGACUACCCUGGUCCCACUGGGCGUGCCAAUGUUUUGGCCACACUAGUAAGUCUGGGUAUGCAAAGUCUCUUUUAGUAGUUGCUGGCGUGACACCGCGUGGACGCCGAAAGUAGAGGUUGUAGUAGCGGGGUGCGCUUAGCCUUCUAGUUCUAAUCAAGCGACUAAGGAUGGAGAGAGCACCAACUCCACCGCAGGGUUCUUCAGAUUCGCCUUGCGUACUGGGCAAGGACUUUACAGUAGUUCGCUUGAGCAUCACAAUAUUGAUACUCAACGUAGGAUCGAGCAGAGCUUCAACUAGGAAGGAAGAAAAAAAAGACAAUGCUCCGGGGAGCGUAUAGAGAAACGAAAGUAAAGCUUCGGGGAGUGUCUGGAGGUUCAACUGUGUUGAGAGUUGUAUUGUAUUUUUGUUGAGUUGUUGAGUGUGUCUGUAGAAUAUCCUCGAACUCCUUUAUAUAGAGUUAUUUAGGGCCACAAGUAUUGGCCCAAAACAUGUCAAUGACUUGUAGAAGUCUUCAAUGUUAAUAUCGUAGGCAAUGAUACUAACCGCCUCUUGAUACGAUAAUAGAGAUGUACUGGACGUAAACGAUUCUUAGGCAGUUAUGUUUCCUAGCGAAUGAUAUUCCAUAGAGAUAAGCAUCCAUGUUAAUCCAUUAAGAAGUAGACUUUGUAAUUAGUCCAACUCCUCAGACUUCGCCAUGCACGUAUUGAUGAUCAAACCCAAACCAAGGAUAAUGACCUCCUUUUUCGCAUGCAACCAUAGUAAGCUCUUCGCACGCAAAUACUGCUAGCUUUUCGCAUGCAUACCUACUUCGCAAGUCCUCCACCAAGCAAUUAAACACAGUUAACUAGUCAAAUUGGAUAACUUACGUUUCUUAUCCUUACGCGCGAAGUCCUUCUGUGCGAACUCAUGCGCGAGCUCACCUCUUCGCAUGCAUCUAUUUCGCCAACAAUCCAUGUCUCAAUCUUCCACUCAUGUGAAGUCUCAUUGCAUGCGAACUUUGUCCAGCUCGCCCGCCAACUUCUGUCCAUAUAUGAGAAGGCAUGCAUGCAAACCACAUAUCUAGCUUGCAUGAAAUCAUAGGCGAGGUAACCCGCCUCUAAUCCCAACAUUAUUCGGGCUCGCCGGUGUGACAUGGACCAUAUAUGAGAAGGCCUGCAUGCGAACCACAUAUCUAGCUUGCAUGAAAUCAUAGGCGAGGUAACCCGUCUCUAAUCCCAACAUUAUUCGGGCUCGCCGGUGUGACAUGGACCAUGAAUUUAACUAAUAUUCACAUAGACAAUUACUGCCCAAUAAAAUAUUAAUUCUAGGUGUAAACAUUACCUAUGCAUACAUGCUAGUAGUUUUGGCAUAUAAUGUUUGAAGAGGUUGUUUCUUCUUAAGGUUGAUUGUAAGGAUGUAUCGAGACUUUUGGAUUAUGUUAGGUUAUGGUUGAACCCCUAUCGGUUCUUGUCCACUGUAAUCGUUAGUGUUUUGGGUAGGUAGGAAGGAGAGUGGGGAAUUUAUUUCUACCACCGACAUCACUCAUGGUUGUAAUAUAUUGUAUUCCCAUUUAAUGAAAUUCUUGAUAUUUUGCCUAAAAAAAAAACAGGGGGAGAGUUACAAAUUUUUUUUUUUUUUUCAUGUAACAAAAAUUCGAAAAUUAUAUAUCCAAGACUAACAGAGAAAACCAUUAAUUUGAUGUUCAAUCUAAUUCUAAUUUUGAUCAUGCCUAGCUAGGGACUACACUCUAUAGCGAUGUGUGUGUCUCCUCAGUCCUCACUACUAAAAGAAGUGAAUCACAAGAAACUUAUCAAGCAACCCAUCAGUUUUUGAUAUCGAUGUUGGCUGAGUUAAUCAUACAGUUAAUUGUAGUUUUAAGGCCAAAUCUUGCAACAUCCGAUUCAACCUCUCUAAAUCCUUGGCCAUAUUCAUCAGAGUCAUGUUCUUCCACCACAAACUUGUAUGUUUCUAUUAACUUCCUCCGAAACUGAGUCUGCUCAUGACUAGUAGUAGUUGUUGAUGAUGAUGAGUUAAUUUCACUCUCCAGCCAAUCCAACCAUUUCCAACCUAUUACUUGACACAUUCCUUCUUCCAGUUUCCUUUCCAGUUUCUCGGGUUCGACACCUUUCGAUCGAAACCAUACAUGCAUCAUCUCAUGAGCCAAGAUUGCCUGUGUCAUAAUCUUGGGUAAACCGAACAAGAUAGCUAUGCCGGUUCUAUACUCCCUUGCCUCUAUCAUCUCUUGCUCCACUACAAUGCUAUUCCCUUUCCUCGAACAACUUGUAACACCAGUGAUGGUGGCCAUAUCAUCCAUAUCAGCCUCUAAUCCCAACCCGAAAAUUGGUUCUUGCUCGCCAGAAAGUCUGGCCAUCUCUAUCGUGUCGACCAAGAAAACACGAACGUCGUCCGGUAGGUCAAUGUCGAGUGUAUGGAAAAAUUCGUGACAUUUAUUGACCAAGAGAGGUUCGCAUUGCCGGAUGUCGAAGAUUGCGGUAGAAUAACAAUCCAGACAUGUUUCCCGACCAUCGCCGAGAUUUAUAUAUGUUACAUCACUCGUCUUUAACCUCAUGCAGCCAAAGCAUAUUGGAGUUCCAUCAUGUAGAUGUUUGGGACAAAAUGUUUGGUUCCAUAUUACGUCACAGCAAACUGGAGUUCCAUCUGGGAAAUGAGUGAGACGAUCCAAGCUGUUGGUAAAAGUAUUAGUACAAACUUCGCAAACCAACCUUGGUUGUCUUGCAGAUAUAGCAACUUCCUGAAUUGCAUGACUUUGCCCUUUUUCAUAUUGUUCUUGAAGGGAAAUUUGCUGAAGGGCAAGCUUUAUAUCCUCGAUUGCUUGAUCUUCAUACAUAGUAUGCUCAAAGUAAUAUUGACAAUUGGGGAGGCGAUUUCAUGAUCCAACCUCUCACCUAGCCUAAUCCUACUUCAAUAUCCUACUCCCCCACAAACUUAAGGGUUUGAAAGCUUGACUAUUGAAAAUCUAAAUAAAGAACCAUUUCAGUGUUUAUAUAGAGUCUAUCUAGUUAUCCAGUUUGAAUAAGGAUUCCAAUGAGGUUUCCUUUCAUUACUUGGUAAGGUUUCCUACUUUGAUUAGUAAGAGAAACAGUCAAAAUCAUGUUCCUUAUUACAAACAAAUUCAACGAAACCUUGUUCGAUCAAACUGGAAAACUAGAUGGAACACCUAACAACUUUCCCUUUUGCUAUCAAAACUUCCCCACAUUUGUCCUUAAGAUUUAUAUAGAGGUAUAAACUAUCUUCUUACCUAGCCUAUUCACAUUCUGUCGAAAAAGUAAAGCUAAGAGCACUAAACUUAUAUCCCCCUUCAACUGUUAGAUAGUCGUAGUCGUAGAGUCGGUGAUGUCACUUUUACAGAACCGUUCAUGAGAUUUUCAGCCAUCGACGUGGUGAAUUCCAGCCGCUCCAAUAUUCAUUGCUUUCAGACAAAUCGUCCAAACACCUCUCUUUCCUACUCACCACUCACCAGUGCCCGGCCGGUGGCCAUUAAUAUACUUACUAUUCUCUCUGAGAAAUAUGUAACCAAUAAUUGUUCAGUACCAGCCGGUCGAUUAGUACGACGGGGAUUCAUGAUUAUUUCAACGAAGCACAAUAUCUUGGUAAUAAAGAACAUUAAAAAGAAGAAGAUCAUGAACUUCAGAAUAAGGCACAAGUGCACAACAUAAGGCUUAAUCAUAACCAAAUCAAAACCAAAUUAACUCUUGUUUUCAUAAUUCGAAAUGUGAAAACUCAUAACCCAAUUUCCAUAACACUACAACAACCUGCCUUUCUCACUAAUCAAAACCGCAAAACAGCAACCUAGUAAAGAGCAAAGAACAUAGCUUUCUCCAUCGGUGAAGACGAACGCAAAGACCCACCAAUGCAACCUUCUUGCUUCUCUCUCGGACUCGAGCAGGGUGAGGGGUCGCUGUCCCGGAGCGGUCCCUUGACGUUCCUAAUGAUGAACCGGUUCUGGUAGACGGUAGUCGAGAAACUUGACCCGAUCGGACUUGGUUCACCUUUCCUGUGGAUCCGGUCCGGCCCAUCACCUUCACUACCAAGUCAUCUGUGUACGACGAUAGAAUAGACUCACUCACUCGCCAACUCCAAGGUUAUUACAUUUCUGUAACAAAAAACUCACAAACUCAAAAGGAAUUCACCUGUAGGUCUUUGCCUCUAUCGGCGCACAACAAGAUCACUGAUCUUGAUCUUGAUCUUCGAUUCUGUCAGCUUCUUUUAUGUCCAGUGCCAUCCUGUCCCCAUUAGAUCUGAAAACAAAGUAACAGUAGUUAGUUAAUUAAAGGAAAAAGAACCAAGAACAUGCAAGACAUUAAGAUCGAUGUAAAAACCCUAAAUAUUGAUCUCUGAUAUCUUCUCGAUCGAUCUCUUCUCUUCUUCAGUCACUCCCAUAUGCUCUCUCACACCUUCUCUCUCUCUCUGUUCAUCACAUAUACACACGAGGAUCAACUCGCGGAUGAUGAACAUAGAGAGAGAAAAAGCGAAAGAAAGC